rnacentral:rRNA from 1 species
AUACGAGAGGUGCAAGCGUUGUUCGGAUUGACUGGGCGUAAAGCGUGUGUAGGCGGUUAUAUCAGUCAAGUGUGAAAUGGCUUGGCUCAACCAAGCAACUGCGCUUGAUACUGUAUGGCUUGAGUACGGAAGAGGAAAGUGGAAUGUAAGGUGUAGCGGUGAAAUGCGUAGAUAUCUUAUAGAACACCUAUGGCGAAGGCAGCUUUCUGGUCCGAUACUGACGCUGAGUACACGAAAGCUUGGGGAGCGAACGGGAUUAGAAACCCCGGUAGUCC